CACGAGUCCCGACGCUUCGGGAGCUACUGCUUCUUUGUGCACGUGGUAUGUGUGUGCGACGUGUGCACAUACUGUGUGCACAGACGACACUGGAGAGGAAGGAGGAUGCUAUUACAGGACAUACUGUAUGGUAAACAGUUGGGAGUGCGCGUCGGGUCCCUCAGUCUCCUCUGCGAUUUGCCUUUCAGAAGGCCACAGAGAACUCUGUGACUCCUCACGAUGUCCAAAAUUAAGAAGAUGUAAGGACAAUAUCCACACAUUGUUGAGGAUGGCCUCGUCUCCUUAACUCUUCUUAUUUAUUUUUAUUUUUUUUAUUUUUGCCCUUUUAAAGGGUAGCUUUCCUACUCAGUUUGUCUAGUGUACACGCUUAUAUCAUCUAUAAAUUUAGAUAAACUCCUUGCCUUUUCUCAGGUUUUCUUUUUUUUUUUUCCUUUAAAAAAUUCUUUACAAAAUGAUCAGAAGAAACAAACCAAAAAAAAAAAA